GGGGGGGGGAAUUAUGUGCUUUCAGGUGAAUUCACUCUUCACGAAGAUUCUGAAGCAACGUGGAGUUACCAACAUUUCUGAUCGACAGGUCACCUGUCUGCAAAGGUGGUCCAGAACCAGGAGCUCACUCCAGCAACUCUGCAGAAGAACCAUCUGGUCCUCCACCUUUUGGUUUCCAAUGGAACUACGUGGAAGUGAAGAGCUGCGGAACUGCUGACCUUUGAGAAACGUUCACUGCACUUUUCCUUGACGGCGGUACAAAAGUUCAGUUUUCUGCAAGGCAAGCGACUAAAUAGGGAAGCAUGAAAAAGCAGCCUGACCUCGCCGCAAUACUCUGAGAUGAACUCGUUCUUCUGCACGGGCUCUUUGAUGAAGGUGCCCCAUCCGGCGACGUCCGACGGCGCCAGCAGGAGGUGCUGUCAAAUGCCCUUUACGGCGCGCGCAUUUGCAACUUCCUGUUUGGCCCGAGCGGCGCGCUGCUACGGGAAAAAGGCGGCGCGCGAGGGUCUGGGGCGGAGGGGAGGAGGACGCCGGGCCGCUGAAUCGCAACGCACGCACGCAAAAUCGGAUUUUCUGCAUUAUGUCGGCCCUGCUUGCCAACUCGUCUUCGUGUUGUAGCUUUAACAUGGACAAAAGUGAAAUGUGGGGGUUUGCUGCAGAAGAAGAUCAUUUAUUAUUAUGAUGAUGAAUCCAAUUGGCUGUGCUCUCACCUUUGAAUGCAGCAAUGCUUGUAAAUCACAGAAAAACGUCGUGCAGAAAAUAUUGGCAAUAUUUAGAGAAAAAAAAGCCAUACUAUUUUUGUUUUCAUUUUUUAAGAGAAUGUGGGGGGGGGGGAAAUCCCAUACAAAUGCAGAUUCUGCAAUUAAACAGUUUUUCUCAAUAGUUUUUUUUGUGUUGGUAUUUUUAGGUCUAAUUAUCACCGUAUUUUUCGCAUGAUAAGGCGCACCGCAUUAUAAGGCAGGCACACCUUCAAUGAAUGGCCUAUUUUAAGAAUUUUUUCAUAUAUAAGGCGCACCGCAUUGUAAGGCGGAUAGAAUAAGACGCUACAGUAGAGGCUGGGGUUACGUUAUGCAUCCAUUAGAUGGCGCUGCACUGAAGGCUCACUAUUGAUCCAUAUAUAAGGCGCACCCGAUUAUAAGGCGCACCUUCGGCUUUUGAGAGAAUUAAAGGCUUUUAGGUGCGCCUUAUAGUGUGGAAAAUACUACUGUAUUGUACUGUAUUUUUUAUUUUAUUUUUUUCAUUUUUUUAUUUGUAUUUUAUUAAUUUAUUUUUUCCCAAAGAGGCAAAGUAAUGUGAUAUUUUGGAAAAAUAAUUCCAGUAAAUUUACCAUUUUCUCAUUUUCAAUGGGAGAACAUCGAGCAUAACACUAAAUGUAAGCAGAUUUUUAUGGAUCUUGUUUUGUGUAGCUGGUACAGAAGUCCCCCCAAAAAAAUGGA